rnacentral:rRNA from 1 species
UAGUGGCGACGGGUGAGUAACACGUGGGCAAUCUGCCCUUCACUCUGGGACAAGCCCUGGAAACGGGGUCUAAUACCGGAUAACACUCUGUCCCGCAUGGGACGGGGUUAAAAGCUCCGGCGGUGAAGGAUGAGCCCGCGGCCUAUCAGCUUGUUGGUGGGGUGAUGGCCUACCAAGGCGACGACGGGUAGCCGGCCUGAGAGGGCGACCGGCCACACUGGGACUGAGACACGGCCCAGACUCCUACGGGAGGCAGCAGUGGGGAAUAUUGCACAAUGGGCGAAAGCCUGAUGCAGCGACGCCGCGUGAGGGAUGACGGCCUUCGGGUUGUAAACCUCUUUCAGCAGGGAAGAAGCGAAAGUGACGGUACCUGCAGAAGAAGCGCCGGCUAACUACGUGCCAGCAGCCGCGGUAAUACGUAGGGCGCAAGCGUUGUCCGGAAUUAUUGGGCGUAAAGAGCUCGUAGGCGGCUUGUCACGUCGGAUGUGAAAGCCCGGGGCUUAACCCCGGGUCUGCAUUCGAUACGGGCUAGCUAGAGUGUGGUAGGGGAGAUCGGAAUUCCUGGUGUAGCGGUGAAAUGCGCAGAUAUCAGGAGGAACACCGGUGGCGAAGGCGGAUCUCUGGGCCAUUACUGACGCUGAGGAGCGAAAGCGUGGGGAGCGAACAGGAUUAGAUACCCUGGUAGUCCACGCCGUAAACGUUGGGAACUAUGUGUUGGCGACAUUCCACGUCGUCAGUGCCGCAGCUAACGCAUUAAGUUCCCCGCCUGGGGAGUACGGCGCAGGCUAAACUCAAGGAAUUGACGGG